CCCUCCGCCCCCCUCAUUCCUUCGCUUCUCUCACCUGCUUGUUUGUUCGUCUCUCCCUCCCUCCCUCCCUCCGACUCGCACCGCACCCAGGCCCCAGCCCACGCGGGGUUCGGAUUCCCUCCGCCGCCACCCGCGAGAGGGAGACGCCGGCGCCGGCGAUCGGUGACCGAUGGCGGCGGCGGCGGUGCGGGUAGACAAGGCCACGAGCGAGCUGCUGCUCGGCCCCGACUGGACCCUCAACAUCGACAUCUGCGACGCCGUCAACUCCGAUCACGGGCAAGCAAAAGAGGUGAUUAAAGCUUUGAAGAAGCGUCUCCAGCACAAAAAUUCAAAGGUUCAGUUUUUUGCUUUGACGCUAUUGGAAACUCUAAUGAAGAAUUGUGGGGAUCAUGUGCAUUCACAAGUUGUAGAGCGUGAUAUACUGCAGGAGAUGAUCAAAAUUGUUAAGAAGAAGACUGAUAUGCAGUUGAGGGACAAAAUUCUAGUACUCCUUGAAUCUUGGCAAGAAGCAUUUGGUGGGAAUGGUGGGAAGCAUCCCCAGUACUACUGGGCAUAUGCUGAAAUGAAGAAAUUGGGCUUGGAAUUUCCUCGGCGAUCACCUGAUGCUGCACCAAUACUUACUCCUCCAAUCACACGCCCAACAUCUUUGGAAUCUUAUCAUCAACCAAGUUACGGAAUGCCAGUUAAUUCUUCCUCUAGAUUUGAUGAGGCAAUGCCAUCUAACGGGCCUUCCCUGAGUUCAUCGGAGAUGGAACGCAUGUUAGGUGCUGUUGAACUAUUAAGCGAGAUGCUGAAAGCAGUGAAUCCACAUGAUCGUGGGGCUGUCAACGAUGAAAUUAUCACAGAGCUUGUGAAACAAUGCCGGUCAGACCAGAAAAAGAUAAUAAGUUUGGUAACUUCAUUAAGAGAUGAGGAGCUCUUGGGCCAAGCUCUUGACUUGAAUGAUAGGAUGCAGAUUCUGCUUGGCAAACAUGAUGCAAUUGCAUCAGGUUCUCCUCUACCAGAUGAAGAAACAGAUAUCAUGAAUGAAUCAUCAGCAGAAACAACUUCAACUCCAGUGGCAACAGGGGCUCCUCGAGCUGCAGUUGCUGCUAUAGUACCAACUAAUGUUUUCGAUGAAGAGGAGGAAGAUGAAGAUGACGAGUUCUCUCAGCUCGCUCGCAGGUCUACAAAUGCUGAGAGCACCCCUUCUGGCGUAGCAACAUCUUUGUCGACCGCCCAUGACGAUGAGAUAACAAGUUCAGGAUCUUCUGGUACCUCUACAGUUUCACCACCUGUUCAAAGCCAUGCAUUGGCACUGCCUGAUCCUCCAGCUCCUGUUAGAACUGCAGAAGAGCAAGUUAUGAGUGACCUUCUUGCACUCACCAUAUCAAACCCUUCACCACCUCAAACUCCACCAACACCUGAAGCUACCACCACCAUGAACCAAGGUGGCUCGCAAGCCAAUGAUCAUCCACAACCUAGUUACUCAAACCAAGGACUUGCUGCUGCAUCAUACAACAGCUAUGUUGCUCCUUGGGCUCAGCCUCAAUGUCAAACUCCAGGCAUUCAGCUUCAGCAGCAUCAACAACCAUCCCAGUCACAAUUGCCCUACAACUCAUCUCCCUACCCGCCACCGCCAUGGGCAUCGGAGGACACCGCCGAGUCCAACCCUUUCAUUGCAGCUUCACUGAAGAACCAACCUACUUCCGCCUCGCCGGUUAAUGUACCACUGAAUUUGAGGCCUCUACAGCAAUCAAAUUCUUUCGGGGUUCCGCUUCGAAGUGCCGGGCCACAAUCGCCGAUAAACGGGAGCACUAAGCAACCGAUGUCUGCAGGAGCUCGCAGGCCAUCUUAUGUUUCUUCUAACAAAUACUUCGAUGAUCUGUUUGAGAAAAAUGCUGAUGGCAGCCUGAUGAAGGUGGGCGGUAGCGUUGGUGGGGGCGCAUCCUCGCCAUACAAGACAUAAUUCUGAGAUUUCUGACACAGGAAUAUUAAACUGUUGGGAGUAGUCUAUCUGCGAACAUUACUUUGCUUGUCUUGAGCUCUGAUUUGUGGUCAGAUUAUCUGUGAAGAUUUCUCUCGCCAUGCCAGAUUGAUUUGGUUGGUGCUUCUGAAAGGCAUGCUGGCCAGUUGAUAAAUAAUUUAUGCCAAAAAACAAGAUAUAUAAUGCAUCAGUCUCUGUCAUGGAGAUUUCUUGAAUGAAGAAUCGCUGACCAGCAGAAGGUUCACACAAUUCUGAACCGAGUCAGGCCAUAGCCACAACAACUCUGCCCUUCCCAACAUCUUCAGCAAAAUUCGGAGAUGGUAACCGUUGGAGCAGCAUGAUUCAGCCAGGCAUGCAGAUGAAGAUCAUAGGCAAAUUAGCUUGCACAAUUCUCCUCAACGAAGAAGAUGGAAAUACACUACCGAUAAUACAUUGAUCACACAACCUCUGUGAUAGUAUGAUCUUGAUCAUGUCAGCAGUUUAUUUUGUAAUGUACAGAGCUCUGAAGAUGUUCAUGGUCA